UUCCCGUCCACCUGGUGGACGUGAAAUCUGAUUGGUUGAUCAGCAUCAUGAAGGAUUUUGAUUGGUUACAAGUUCACAUAAACAACAGUUUUAAAAAUAGCUCGGUCAAGGCGAGAAUUAAUAUAAAGGUCAAACGCACGUAACAAAUUCCAUUAUCGAUUUCUUCAAAUUUCUUUUCUUUUAUGCUUUAUGGCAGAAAAUAAAUCAAACAAACAGUAUUUUGAAAGGGCUUCAUCAAAAUCUUUGACGAAUUUCGGACACACUGAAAGAACAGCCAAACUAGUCAUGUAUUCGAAAGCUUGUUGUUGACAGCUGUAAUAGUCUUCGAGCUUUGUAUUUUUAUAAGAUAAGUACAACAACAACACGAGGCCCCAUGGGGGUCUCAAACCGGAAGUAUAUCAUUACAACAGCCAAGAUGGUCUGCCAACUUGCUUCUCCGGCAAAAGUCUUAUUUCUAAUAUCAGGUCCUACCGGCGUUGUUUUCUGAGCUACAUCGCCUUCUUCGUGGUAUGAUUGAGAAUUU